UACGUAGGGUGCAAGCGUUAAUCGGAAUUACUGGGCGUAAAGCGUGCGCAGGCGGUUGUGUAAGACAGAUGUGAAAUCCCCGGGCUCAACCUGGGAACUGCAUUUGUGACUGCACGGCUCGAGUGCGGCAGAGGGGGAUGGAAUUCCGCGUGUAGCAGUGAAAUGCGUAGAUAUGCGGAGGAACACCGAUGGCGAAGGCAAUCCCCUGGGCCUGCACUGACGCUCAUGCACGAAAGCGUGGGGAGCAAACAGG
rnacentral:rRNA from 1 species